rnacentral:rRNA from 1 species
AAUUAUUUUAUUCUUUUUCUCUUUUUUAAUAAAAAUAUUUUAUUUUUUAGUAUUUUGAAUUAAUAUUUUUUUUUGAUAGCUUAUUUAACUGUGAAGGUUAAUUUUUUUAAUUAAAAGUAAUCUUUUUUUGGUGUACCUUUUGCAUCAGGGUUUAUUAAUUUAAUAUAAUUAUUUAUUUUUCUCGAAAUUUCAAGUUAAAAAUUAUAGUGUUUUUUAUUGUUUUAUAUAUAUAAUUAACUUUAAUUUAGAAGUUAUAUGCUUUUCAUUUGAGUUUAUAUCUAGUUUUUUAAUAAUUAAAUUUAAUUUAGUUUACAUAAGUUUUUUUUAUUUUAAUUAUUAAUGAUUUGUGUAUAAAAACUUUUUGGGGAUAAGCUUGAUUGGUUUUUUAAAAAGUUGUUUUUUCAGAUUUUUCAUAGGAUUGAUAAUUUCUAUUUUUAUUUUUUUAUAAUUAUUUUUCUGUUUAUAAGAUUUUUUUUCUUUUAAUUAUUUAUUAAAGUAUAGGUUUUAAUUUAUUUUGUUUUUUAAUAAUGAUAAAAUUAGUAAUUUUUUAUAAUUUAAAUUUAGGAACUCGGCAAAAAUAAUUUUCACCUGUUUAACAAAAACAUGGUUUUUAGAUUUUAAUUUAAAAUCAGGCCUGCCCAUUGAUUUAAAAUAUUAAAAGGCUGCGGUAUUUUAACUGUACUAAGGUAGCAUAAUCAUUUGCCUUUUAAUUGGGGGCUUGCAUGAAUGGUUUGAUGAAAAAUUUUCUUUCUUAUUUUAAUUAAUUUGAAUUUAAUUUUUUAAUUAAAAAGUUAAAAUUUCUUUAUAGGACGAGAAGACCCUAUAGAAAUUUAUUUUUUAUAUAAAUUUUCCUUUUUUGUUAUUAAAAGAUUAAUUUAGAAUAAAAAAUUUUGUUGGGGUGACAGUAAAAUUUUUAUAACUUUUACUUAUUUUUCCAUUAAUUUAUGAUUUGAUCCAGUUUUAUUGAUUAAAAGAAUAAUUUACCUUAGGGAUAACAGCGUUAUUUUUUUGGAGAGUUCUAAUCGAUGAAAAAGUUUGCGACCUCGAUGUUGAAUUAAGAUUAGUUUUGGGUGCAGAUUUUCAAAGUUCUUGGUCUGUUCGACCAUUAAAUUCUUACAUGAUUUGAGUUCAGACCGGCGUGAGCCAGGUCGGUUUCUAUCCUUAUUUUUUUUAUAAUUUAGUACGAAAGGACCUUUUAUAACAAUUAUAAUUGUAUUAUUAGAAUGUAAUUAAUUAUCUUGGCAGAUU